AUGAAGUCGGAAUUGCUAGUAAUCGCGGAUCAGCAUGCCGCGGUGAAUACGUUCCCGGGCCUUGUACACACCGCCGGUCACACCAUGGGAGCCGGUAAUACCCGAAGUCAGUAGUCCAACCACGUGAGGACGCUGCCGAAGGUAGGAUUGGCGACUGGGGUGAAGUCGUAACAAGGUAUC
rnacentral:rRNA from 1 species